AGUGUCCUACGGGGGGCAGCAGUGGGGAAUAUUGCACAAUGGGGGAAACCCUGAUGCAGCGACGCCGCGUGAGUGAAGAAGUAUUUCGGUACGUAAAGCUCUAUCAGCAGGGAAGAAAAACCGGCCUUAGGGCCGCCAGACGGUACCUGACUAAGAAGCCCCGGCUAACUACGUGCCAGCAGCCGCGGUAAUACGUAGGGGGCAAGCGUUAUCCGGAUUUACUGGGUGUAAAGGGAGCGUAGACGGCUGUGCAAGUCUGAAGUGAAAGCCCGUGGCUCAACCGCGGAACUGCUUUGGAAACUGUA
rnacentral:rRNA from 1 species